GCAAUGUUGGUUCAGUGGUAGAAUUCUUGCUUCCCAGGAGAGAGACCUAGGUCCGAUUCCUGGCCAAUGCA
rnacentral:tRNA from 1 species